rnacentral:rRNA from 1 species
GACGAACGCUGGCGGCGUGCUUAACACAUGCAAGUCGAACGGAAAGGCCCUUCUUGCAGGGUACUCGAGUGGCGAACGGGUGAGUAACACGUGGGUGAUCUGCCCUGCACUUCGGGAUAAGCCUGGGAAACUGGGUCUAAUACCGGAUAGGAGCCAUUUUUAGUGUGAUGGUUGGAAAGUUUUUUCGGUGUAGGAUGAGCUCGCGGCCUAUCAGCUUGUUGGUGGGGUAAUGGCCUACCAAGGCGGCGACGGGUAGCCGGCCUGAGAGGGUGGACGGCCACAUUGGGACUGAGAUACGGCCCAGACUCCUACGGGAGGCAGCAGUGGGGAAUAUUGCACAAUGGGCGCAAGCCUGAUGCAGCGACGCCGCGUGGGGGAUGACGGCCUUCGGGUUGUAAACUCCUUUCGCUAGGGACGAAGCUUUUUGUGACGGUACCUAGAUAAGAAGCACCGGCUAACUACGUG